UGUAAUGUACACCUACACGUGUGUACCUGUGUACUGUACAUCUACACGUGUGUACCUGUGUAAUGUACAUCUAUAAAUGUGUACUUGUUUAAUGUACAUCUAUAAAUGUGUACCUGUGUAAUGUACAUCUAUAACUGUGUACCUGUGUAAUGUACAUCUACACGUGUGUACCUGUGUAAUGUACAUCUAUAAAUGUGUACAUGUGUAAUGUACACCUACACGUAUGUAUCUGUGUAAUAUACAUUUAGGUGUGUACCUGUGUAAUGUACAUCUAUAAUUGUGUACCUGUGUAAUGUACAUCUACACGUGUACCUGCGUACUAUACAUCUACACAUGUGUACCUGUGUAAUAUACAUCUAUAAAUGUGUACCUGUGUAAUGUACACCUACACGUGUGUACCUGUGUAAUAUACAUCUAGGUGUGUACCUGUGUAAUGUACAUCUAUAAUUGUGUACCUGUGUAAUGUACAUCUACACAUGUGUACCUGUGUAAUAUACAUCUAUAAAUGUGUACCUGUGUAAUGUACAGCUACACGUGUGUACUUGUGUAAUGUACACCUACACGUGUGUACCUGUGUAAUAUACAUCUAGGUGUGUACCUGUGUAAUGUACAUCUAUAAUUGUGUACCUGUGUAAUGUACAUCUAUAAAUGUGUACAUGUGUAAUGUACACCUACACGUGUGUACCUGUGUAAUAUACAUCUAGGUGUGUACCUGUGUAAUGUACAUCUAUAAUUGUGUACCUGUGUUAUGUACAUCUACACGUGUUGACCUGUGUAAUGUACAUCUACACAUGUGUACCUGUGUAAUGUACAUCUAUAAAUGUGUACCUGUGUAAUGUACAACUACACAUGUGUUCCUGUUUAAUGUAUAUCUUCAUGUGUGUACCUGUGUAGGGUACACAUCUAAUAUGUCUAACAUCCAUAUAUGUACCUCACCUGUACUAAAGGUACCUGUAUAAUGUAUGUACAUGUGUAAUUUACAUGUGAAUUGUGUUUCCUUCCCUUCAUAUAACAUGUGUUGUGAAAUGUUUGUGUUUAUAAUUAAUUUCAUAUAUGUUUUAGGUGUUCAUUACCUUCUGCAAAUGAUUUUUGUUGACUCUGUGCAAUAAAGACAUGACUUUUGAGAAAAA